AUUGAAAUCUACAUUUAUUAAACCAGAUUUUAAGUAGAUUUAUUUGAAUAUAUUUCCAGGCUGUGGACAAUGAGAUCUACCAGUGACUGAGGACACAAAUCAGAACACCGUGAUGUCUGUCUGCUUCUCUUGAGAAUGCCACUUUUGUUUCUCUCAAGCCUAUCAUUAAUUUCCUUCUUUUCCUCUG
rnacentral:lncRNA from 1 species